rnacentral:tRNA from 1 species
GAGGGUAGAGCUCAGUGGGAGAGCGCAUGCUUAGCAUGCAUGAGGUCCUGGGUUCAAUUCCCAGUACCUCCA